rnacentral:rRNA from 1 species
AUGACGCCGACCCGCCACUCGCCGGCCGCGGUGGCCGUCGCGCUCCUCCUCGCCGUCCUGGCCGCCGAGGCGGGGGGCGACGAGAGCGACUGCAGCGUGGCGCAGACGGCCUUCAGCGAGUGCACCGGGUACGUGGCCGGCCUGGACGACGAGGUCCCGCCGCAGUGCUGCUUGGGGCUGGGCGACGUCAAGGACCUGGCGCCGGGCGCGGACCAGCGCCGGGACCUCUGCGCGUGCCUCCUGUCGGAGAUGCUCGCCGCCGGCAACGGCAAUGUCGACUCCGGCCGCGCCGCCGGCCUCCCGUCCGCGUGCGGCCUCAGCGUCAGGUUCCUCCCAACCAGCCCCGACUUUGACUGCUCCCAGUACGUAUUUCUGCUUCCCCCUUGUUUUGUUCGUCCUUCCAUCAGCUGA